rnacentral:rRNA from 1 species
AUUAAUAUACUAAUUACUAAUAUAGAUAAGUUAUCUAUCAGUAUAAGAGAAAUACCUUAUUGUAUAGUAUAAUAUAUAGAACCACUUAUAUUACAUAGUAAUAGUUUAUUAGUACUGUAAAGGAAUUUAAUAUAUUUGUUAUAAGUAUAAUUAACUUUUAGUACCUUUUGUAUCAGGGUUUAUUAAAUACAAUUUAUAUAUAUAUAAAUAUCCCGAAUUUAUAGGGUCUAUACUGUUAUAUUUAAUAACAUAACAAAGUUAUAUAUAAUAAUAGUAUAGUAAUUAUAUGUUAUUCAGCUAUAAUAUAUCUGGUUUACUAAUAAAUGAAUUCAAUUCAUGUGUAUUUUUAGUUAUAGUAAAUUUAAUUAUUAUUACUUAUAAUAUACUACCUCUAUUGGGGAUAAGCUCAAUAUAGGGUCUAUAAUUAUAUUCAUAAUAUAUAGUUUAGUAGGCCUAGCAUUAGCCAUCUUGUAUUUCAUUAUAGAAAUUCUAUAUCUAGGUUUUAUUUAAUAUUAAUUUAGUAUACUAUUAGUGUGAUGUAUUUAAUAUAUAAGUACAUGUAAUAAUGAUAGAAUAAGUAUUGUUAAUAUAUAUAAUAUAGUAACUCGGCAAAUAUUAUCUUCACCUGUUUAACAAAAACAUGGCCUUUUGAUAUAUAUAAUUAAUAUAAGGUUUGGCCUGCCCAAUGAUUACUAUUUAAUGGCCGCAGUAUCCUGACUGUGCGAAGGUAGCAUAAUCAUUUGUCCUUUAAUUGGGGACUUGUAUGAAUGGUCGGAUGAGGGAUAUACUUUCUUUAUUCUAUAAACAGUAAUUUAAUCUGUAAGUUAAAAAGCUUAUAUUAUCUUAAGUGACGAGAAGACCCUAUAGAACUUUACUAUUAAUAAUAACUAUACAAUUUAUAUUAUUAUAUGGAUAAUUGUUAUCAAUAGUUUUGUUGGGGUGACAGUUAAAUUUAGUUAACUUUAACUUAAUUUUACUCAUUAAUUUAUGAUUAGUUUGAUCCAUUAAUAUUGAUUAUAAGAAUAAGUUACCUUAGGGAUAACAGCGUAAUUCUGUUGGAGAGUUCAUAUUAAUAACAGAGUUUGCGACCUCGAUGUUGGAUUAAAGUAAGUGUUAAGUGCAUAAGCUUAAUAACUAAGUCUGUUCGACUUUUAAUAUUUUACAUGAUCUGAGUUCAAACCGGUGUGAGCCAGGUUGGUUUCUAUCUUUAAAUUAAUGUCAUUAUUUUAGUACGAAAGGACCAAAUAGUGUAAAUAUUUUAUAUGAUAAUUGAUGUAAAUUA